GUGGAGCUGCCAGAGUAAAGCAAAGAGAAAGGAAGCAGGCCCGUUGGAAGUGGUUGUGACAACCCCAGCAAUGUGGAGAAGCCUGGGGCUUGCCCUGGCUCUCUGUCUCCUCCCAUCGGGAGGAACAGAGAGCCAGGACCAAAGCUCCUUAUGUAAGCAACCCCCAGCCUGGAGCAUAAGAGAUCAAGAUCCAAUGCUAAACUCCAAUGGUUCAGUGACUGUGGUUGCUCUUCUUCAAGCCAGCUGAUACCUGUGCAUACUGCAGGCAUCUAAUCAUCCAGUGGUAUCUGUGCAGGAUUGGUUCCAGGAUCCCCCUCAUACACCAAAAUCCAUGGAGCUCAAAUCCUUUAUAUAAAAUGAUUAGAAGACCUGCGAGUAAAACUGAAGAAAGAAGGAUAUUCUAAUAUUUCUUAUAUUGUUGUUAAUCAUCAAGGAAUCUCUUCUCGAUUAAAAUACACACAUCUUAAGAAUAAGGUUUCAGAGCAUAUUCCUGUUUAUCAACAAGAAGAAAACCAAACAGAUGUCUGGACUCUUUUAAAUGGAAGCAAAGAUGACUUCCUCAUAUA
rnacentral:lncRNA from 1 species